AUUGAACGCUGGCGGCAUGCCUUACACAUGCAAGUCGAACGGCAGCACGGGGCAACCUGGUGGCGAGUGGCGAACGGGUGAGUAAUGCAUCGGAACGUACCUUUCAGUGGGGGAUAACGUAGCGAAAGUUACGCUAAUACCGCAUACGAUCUAAGGAUGAAAGUGGGGGAUCGCAAGACCUCAUGCUCCUGGAGCGGCCGAUAUCUGAUUAGCUAGUUGGUGAGGUAAAGGCUCACCAAGGCGACGAUCAGUAGAUGGUCUGAGAGGACGACCAGCCACACGGGAACUGAGACACGGUCCAGACUCCUACGGGAGGCAGCAGUGGGGAAUUUUGGACAAUGGGGGCAACCCUGAUCCAGCAAUGCCGCGUGAGUGAAGAAGGCCUUCGGGUUGUAAAGCUCUUUUGUCAGGGAAGAAACGGGAUUGGCUAAUAUCCAGUCCUAAUGACGGUACCUGAAGAAUAAGCACCGGCUAACUACGUGCCAGCCGCCGCCGUAAUAC
rnacentral:rRNA from 1 species